GUUCAAGGCCAGCCCGGGGUACAGGAGACUGUCUCACGAUAGAAAGCAAACAAAACACAAGCAAAGCAGAUGAGCAUACAGAAUGAAAUGAGAAGCAUAACACCAGUUAUUUAUUUUUAAAGAUUUAUUUAUGAUUUAUAUGUAAGUACACUGCAGCUGUCUUCAGACACACCAGUAGGGGGUGUCAGAUCUCAUUACAGAUGGUUGUGAGCCACCACAUGGUUGCUGGAAUUUGAACUCAGGACCUUCAUAAGAACAGUCAGUGCUCUUAACCCCUGAGCCAUCUCUCCAGCCCCAUAACACCAUUUAUUAUGCCUGGCGUGGUGGCCUCCCCUUUAAUCCCAGCACUCGGGAGGCAGAGGCAGGCGGAUUUCUUAGUUCGAGGUCAGCCUGGUCUACAAACUGAGUUCCAGGACAGCCAGGGCUAUACAGAGAAACCCUGUCUCAAAAAAAAAAAAAACAAAAAACAAAACAAAACAAAAACAAAAAACAAACAAACAAAACCCAACAACAACCCAUCCCCCCAAAAACAAAAAACCCACCAUUUAUUACCCUGAAUAUGAAAUCUAUAGUAUAAGUCUAAAAAAUUUCCAUAAUAUCUUCCUAGAAAAGUUACAAAAUUUAAAUUACAAAAUUAAAACAACUAAAUGAACAGGUAGCCAAUGUUCAUGGAUAAGAAGGCUUAACAUGGUUAGCUCUUCUCCAGAUUCGGUAAAAUCCUAAGCAAACAAGAGAAUUAUUCUGUGGAUACUAACCAACUGAUUUCAUUUUUUUUUUUCCCUGAGACAGAGAUUUUCUUUGUAGCCCUGGCCUUGCUCUGUAGACCAGGCUGGCUUAGAACUCAGAGAGAUCUGCCUGCCUCUUUCUCCCAAGUGCUGGAAUUAAAGGUGUGUACACCAUCAUUUCCAAGCUGAUUUCAAAUAUAUCUGAAGGAGGAAAAACCUGUAAUAACUAGCAUAGAAUCAAGAACAAACUUGAGCCAACGGCGAUGGCACCCACCUUUGAUCACAGCACUUAGAGGGCAGAGGCAGGUACAUCUUUAUGCUAGAGGCCAGCUUGGUCUACACAGUGAGUUCCUGGUCAGCUAAGGCUACACAGAGAGGCUCUGUCUCAGCAAACAACAGGAAAGAACAGACAUAAAGGACUGGUACUACUUGACUUUGAGACUUGACUGCUUUGUCAAGCUACAGUGAUCAUGAUAAUGUGGUCCUGGAGAAAGAAAUCAAUUAACGGAAAGCACAGAAAUAGACCCAUCUAAAUAUACUCCACUGAUCAGGACAAAGGAACAAAGGGGAAACUGUGGAGGAAAAAUAUCUUCAGCAAAGGCACUGACCACUUAGAGUUCACAGUGGUUUUCCUGCCUCAUCCUCAUCUCCAGAUGUUGGGAUUACAGGCAUGUGUCAUGCCUGCUUCUGCUUUACUCUAAAGUAGCUUGAAUAAUUACCAUAGAAUUGUAUUUCCUUCAUCACUCUCUCACACACACACACACACACACACACACACACACACACACACUUUGUGUACAAUGUUUUAUCUCCCAAGUCCAGGAGCACGCUCCUUAGCCUGUUACUGUAUAUGUAAAGUUUAGCAUUAUAAAUGCUAUAACAUACCAGGCGCUCAAUACAAGUUUAAAAGCAUUUUUUAUUACAUUUGCUGGGUCUGGUUGCCUUUAAUCCUAGCACUGGGAGGCAGAAGCAGGUAGAUCUUUGUGCGUUCAAGGGUAGCCUGGUCUACAUAGUGAUUUCCAGGAUUGUCAGGGCUAUGUAGAGAGAACCUGCCUCUAAAAAACAAAAAUAAAAACAAAACCAUUUUUAUAACAUUUAUUUAUAUUGUGGGUGUGAGAGAGAGAGGGAGGGGGAGGGAGAGGGAGAGGACUUGUAUAUGUAUACAUGCAGGAGAUUUCCACAGUACACAUGCAGGGUCAGAGGACCACUUGCUGGGAUCAGUUCUCCCUUCCACCAUAUGGGCCUUGGGGACUGAACUCAGUUUGUUAGGCUCUGUGCCAAUGCCUUCAUUCUUGCUGAGCCAUUUCACCAAUAAACAUUUGUUAAAAGAACUCCAGGGCUGGAGGGCUGGAGAGAUGCUUUAGCAGUUAAGAGCACUGGCUGCUCUUCUAGAGGACCACGGUUCAAUUUCCAGAACUCACAUGGGGGCUCACCACUGUAACUCCAGCUCCAGAGGCUCCAAUACCCUCAGACGUACGUGCAAGCAACACUGAUGCACUUAGAGUAUAGAUUAAAACAAAACAAAACAAAACAAAACCCGAUGGCUUCUACUCACUCUGCCCGGCUGAUUCUGCCCUCUCCCUUCUGCUUCCUGCUUUGUGGUUGCUACUGGCUCACCAAGGAAGCUUUUAGACAGGGGCUGACUGAUCUUUCACCUCCAGUUCUCACCUCUGUCCCAAACUUAAGUACACAUUCAAACUGAACGACAAAUUGUGGUUAAGAAACUGGUUAUGCAGUAUUUACUGUAAGCUGAUAUUAGUGGGGAGGAAGUGAGAGUGCAGUUUACCUGAGCGAUCAGAAAUGUUAAGAAAAGUGACCCAUACGUUUAUAAUCUUGUCAGUUUCUCUUAAGCUUCAGGAAGUGAGAAGGGGCCAAGGUCCUCCUCCCCGGGAGCUUUCCUGAAAGCGUUAGAGGAAGGGUUCCUUGACAUUUUACCUCAGGCCCAGGAGUAAUGGAGGUUGCAUAGCGUGCACGCUCUAUCUUUUUUACCCCCUUAAUGAGGUUCAUCAACCUCAAAGAAAUAAGGAUUCAGGAAGCUAAAAAAAAAAAUAAGAAUGCAGGCACUGGCAGGAGACCUAUGCAGGAUGUUGGGCAGUGAGGACACACAAGGGACAACCGAGUUCUGAGAGAUUAAACUGGGGCUGUUAGCAGUUUAUGGAUGUCAUGAGCAUUUUCAGGAUCGGCCAGAGAAAAUAAGGACCCAUAAGUUUUCGGCCAGAAGUAGGUGAAAAAAAGGCCUUUGUGUAGACCAUGAAGGCAUCACUUAUUACUGUUUGACAAGUCUGUAAAUACUGUGAAAAGGUUCCUCCUGAGACAGUCAUGGAAACUGACGGCAACUGUUCAAAUCAGCAGUUAAUUUCCCCGUCACUCACGCUGCAUUUAUUUAAAACAUUACUUUUGGACAGAAAGGUUAUAUGGUUACUUCGUACAUUUGGCUCCGAUAUCUUAGCAAACGUUUUAAAAGCAGAGUCACACAGGGCUGGGGAAAUGGCUCAGUGGGCAGGAGCAGAGAGCACUUGCUGCUCUUGCAGAGGGCCUGAGUUCAGAUUCCAGUGUCUAUACUUGCUGGCUCACAACAACAUCUAAGAACAAUUUCAGGGAAUCUGUUGUCCUCUUCUGGCCUCCAUGAGGAGGGGAGGGGAGGGGAGGGAACAAAAGUUAUUUUGGGCUUUAGAGAGAUGGUCAGUGGCUAAGAGUACUUGUUUUGCGAGAGGACAUGGAUUUGUUCCCUAGCAAGGCAGCUCACCACCGGCCAUAACUCCAGGUCCACGGAAUCCACUGUUCUCUUCUGGCUUCCACAGGCAUCUGACAUAUAUGUGAUAUACACAUGCAUAUGGAGGCAAACAGCAGUACACACACAAUAAUAAGGAAACUACUUUACAAUGUACUUUGCUUCAGUUUCUGAGAUAGGUAUGCAUGUAGCCCAUAUUGGCCUGAGUUUACUAUGCCGUUAGUUGGGGAUCUGAUCCUUUUGUGGCUCCCUCUAAAAUGCCGAGAGCACAGGGCUGUAUCACCAUGUCUGACGGUAAAUUAUUUUAAGUGUUUCCUUACUUUUUGUUUGUUUGUUUUGUUUUGUUUUGAGACAGAGGUUUUUUUUUUUUUUUUUUUUGUAGCCUUGACUGUCCUGGAACUCACUCUGUAGACUAGGUUAGCCCGGAAUUCAGAGAUUUGCCUGCAGAUCUGCCUCCAGUGUGCUGAGAAAUUAUUUUAACUUUAACAGUUACAAUGUGAUUCUGCAAAUCUUGAAAAUGGCAAAUCAAGAAUAGAGGAACCUUGUAGUCAAAUUUACCAAAUAAGACAACAGAGAGCUUCCCAGGCAAAGCGGCCUGAGUAGAAUCUCAAGGCUGGUGAGUGGGUGACUGCCAGUCCUAUCGUUUCCCCCAUUGUAUGCCACUCCCCAGGAAGACAGGCCAGUUCACUGCAGCACCUGCUUUCUGCUAGGAUAUUUAUUUAUUUAUUUUGGUUUUUGGAGACAGGGUUUCUCUGUUUAGCCCUGGCUGUCCUGGAUCUCACUCUGUAGAUCAGGCUGGCCUCGAACUCAGAAAUCUGCCUGCCUCUGCCUCCCAAGUGCUGGGAUUAAGGGCGUGAGCCACCACUGUCUGGCUGGAUAUUUAAUUUUUGCCAUGCAGACAUAACAUAGAUGUGUUUUUAUUUAAUAGAUCAUUAAUUCUGCUCCCGGACAUUGUUCCCCUCUGCACAAGCAAAUGCUUUCUAAAAGAGAAAAAAAUAGAAAAAUGCAUUUUAAAAAGAUCAUUAGAGCCUUGCAGCAGUGGCACACACCCUUAAUCCCAGCACUUAGGAGGCAGAGACAGGCGGAUUUCUGAGUUUGAGGCCAGCCUGGUCUAGAGUGAGUUCCAGGACAGCCAGGGCUAUACAGAGAAACCCUGUCUCAAAAACCGAAAAAAUUAAAAAAAAAUCAUUAGACUAACUGACACUGUUAUGAAUGUCCCAAUUAGAUAAUCUAGAGAGGAAACCCCUUUUCCUUUUGUUUUCUUACUUAGCGUUCAGUUUCAUUCCAACACUUUCCAUGUUGUACCCUUAUUUGCUCAGUCACACCACCACUCCCUCAUCCCCUGCCCUGGAUGUAGACAUACUCAUUCCCAGGUGAGGGAGAUGAAGUGACUUUCUUUCUUAUGCUCAUCACCUUUCUUUUUCCCAUUUCCCUUCUAUUUUUAUGUUGUGUGUGUGUUUUUAAAACUAGAUUACACACAUUAGAGAAAAUAUGCAAAAUUUGUCUCUCUGGGUCUAGCUUCAGGGAAUACUCUAUAUAUUAACAAUUUACUUCUAAAAACUAAAAACAAUGAGGACAGAUGCAGUGGUACACACCUUUCUUUAAUUCCAGCACUGGGGGAAAGGGAGUUGGGCAAAUGCAGGAAGAUUUGAGUUCGAGGCCAGGCUGGUUUACAGGACAGCCAGGACAAUAUUGGAAGACUAUGACUCAAAAAACAAACGAACCAACCAACCAACCAAAAAAAGAAAAAUGUAUUUACAAACAGCGUUAGAUUUUGAUGUGUUCCCCUCACCGAGUCCUAAAGAAGUGGGUUUGGAGUAAAAGAGGAGUAACAACAGACCAUUGCAGUUUCCUGAAAGGCAACUGUUAGCUGCGGAAAGUAACUGCUAAUGUCCCUCUUAGGGGAUCAGAAAACUCCUUUUUCUUGCUGAGCUAAUAUGAUCAUGUGUUAUCUUUACAUUCUAAUCUCACAAAAGAUCUAAGACUUUAAGGCAUGCUCUUGUCUAAAGCUUGAACUGUGUUGUAACCCAUUCCCCCAAAUUCCUUAUCUUUUGAGAUAAAAAUCAAGGUACAUGCUUGGCGAAGUUUCAUAGCGCUGACUCUGAAAUACAGAACUCUAACUGCAUUUUCAAACAUUUACAAACACCGCUAGUGGCUUUUUCCUGGUGUCGUUUAAAGAAUAAUUAAAGUGAAAACCUUUAGCACUCAAGCUCAAUUUAAAGCCUCCAAACGGUGGGUGAUUUUUAUCUUCACGAUCGGAAGUGAUCCAAGUUCCAGCUCUGCAGAAAACUCUCUUUUAAAGUACGAACUUUUACGACCUUAGUUAAAAUAAGGCAACUUUUCACCAUUUCUGCCUUUGCUGAUCGGACUCUCGACAAAUUUUCUCCGAGACGAGCAACCCAGAACUCGUUUUUCAGAACCUGCAGAAGGGACCCAAGCCACCUCAAGGUAAAAAGAGAGAGCGGUACAAACAAGGCAAAGUCUUUGAGCGAACGGCAGCGCUACCUCGGUCCGGGCAGAUUCGGGGCUCCCGAGCGACGGUCGGGAGAUCCUCCCUUCUCAGCGAGCUCUCCAUCAGCCGCGCCGAAAAGACCUCUGACCUCCAAAUGAAGGUCCGCUCGGUGACCCCACCCCGACGGCUUCUGUCCGCGUCUUUGAUUGGUUUGUUCCGGGAUCUCUCAGUUUAGCGCGCCCAAUGGGAGCUCGGCCUGGACCUAGGCACCCCGCCCCGCGCCCCCGCUCCGGGGAGCGGCGGAGAGUAAAUACAACAGGAGCGCAAAAUGGCGGAACCGCCGAACCCAGCUCGCGGCGCCGUGGCUCUCCUCUCUGAGAAGGAAGCAUCUGGCAAAGUACAGCCUUCCUCGCGGGAGCCGCCGGGCUCUAUGUCUGCCAAGAAGGUUCGCACCGAGGAGAAGAAGGCGCCGCGGAGAGUGAACGGGGAGGGGGGCAGCGGCGGGAACGGCGGGCAGCUGCAGCCCCAGAGCUUCGGCAGCCCGGCGGCGUGGAGCUUCGCGGCUCGGCCCGCCGCCUCCUCCUCGUCCACCUCUCGGAGCUGUUACUCUUUCUCCGCCAGCCCGAGCGUCUCCUCAGCCUCCGCUUCCUCGUCUCAGCCGCUGCCGCGCAAACUGCUGGUCACUCCCUCGCUGCUGCACGCUCAGCCUCACCGCGUCCUGCUCCCGCCCGUCGCUCCGCCGGCCGCCGCCAAGCCGCGCAGACCCAAGGAGAAGCGCGAGAAGGAGAAGCGGAGGCAGCACGGCCUCGGCGCCGCCGCCCGGGAUGAGAACGGCGAGGCGAAGCCGCUGCCGCGAGAUAAAAUCAAAGACAAAAUUAAAGAGAAAGACAAAGAGAGAGAGAAAAAGAAGCAUAAAGUAAUGAGUGAGAUCAAGAAAGAAAAUGGAGAUGUAAAGAUUUUACUGAAAAGUGGGAAGGAGAAACCAAAAACAAAUAUAGAAGACUUACAAAUUAAAAAAGUAAAGAAGAAAAAGAAAAAGAAACACAAAGAGAAUGAAAAACGGAAGCGUCCAAAAAUGUAUAGCAAAUCUAUUCAGACCAUCUGUUCAGGAUUGCUGUCUGCUGAAGAUCAAGAAGCCAAAAGCAUCUUAAGUGAUAAUGUAAAGGAUUGCAUUGGAAAAAAUUUGGAUACCAAAAACUGUGAUUCAAAAAUUCCUGAUAACAGUGACUUUCCAUUUGUGUCAUUAAAGGAGCCCCGCGAUAAGAAUAACCUUAGAAGGUUGGACACUUUGGCGUUCAGGCAGCUCAUUCACAUUGAGCACCAGCCUAACGGAGGCGCGGCAGUCAUCCAUGCCUACAGUAAUGAACUCUCCUGCCUGUCUCCCAUGGAGAUGCAGAGAUUUGCAGAAGAAUUUGUGGGUUUAGUGUUCAGUGAAAACGAAAGCUCUGCGGCUUUCUAUGUAAUGGGCAUUGUUCAUGGGGCAGCUACAUACUUACCUGACUUUUUAGACUACUUUUCGUAUAAUUUUCCCAAUUCACCAGUGAAAAUGGAGAUACUGGGAAAGAAAGAUAUAGAAACAACGACUAUGUCCAAUUUUCAUGCUCAGGUAAAAAGAACAUAUUCUCAUGGUACUUACAGAGCUGGCCCGAUGCGACAGAUCAGCUUGGUGGGAGCAGUUGAUGAAGAAGUGGGCGAUUACUUCCCCGAGUUCCUUGACAUGUUAGAGGCGUCACCAUUUUUAAAAAACUACCAAUGAAAUAAAAAACCUUCAGUAUCUACCUCGAACCAGUGAGCCUCGGGAGAUGCUGUUUGAAGACAGGACGAGAGCCCAUGCGGAUCACAUAGGACAAGGCUUUGAACGACAGACCACGGCGGCUGUUGGGGUGCUCAAGGCUGUGCACUGUGGACAGCGGCCUGAUCAACCCCGAGUAACCAAAGAUGUAAUUUGUUUUCAUGCAGAAGAUUUCUUAGAAGUAGUUCAGCGAAUGCAGUUAGACUUACAUGAGCCUCCACUGUCCCAGUGUGUGCAGUGGGUUGAUGAUGCAAAACUUAACCAGCUGAGGAGAGAAGGCAUUCGCUAUGCCAGGAUUCAGCUGUAUGAUAAUGACAUUUAUUUUAUUCCAAGGAAUGUUGUCCAUCAGUUCAAGACAGUUUCAGCUGUAUGCAGUUUGGCAUGGCACGUUCGACUUAAAUUCUAUCACGCAGAGGAGGACACUUGUCACAGUACAAGUGAAAGUACUCAUGAAAAGGGCAUAGCAUCAGGUCCCACAUCAUCAGUUCUGGGAGCUCACACUGAGAACCAAGCCUCCUCAGACUCUGUGUUGUCAGACAAACUUCCUUCUAAGUAUGAAUCACAACAAAUUAAACACGAACCUGGUGCAGCUCUAAGAAUCAAGGAAGAGCCUGGGAUGGCUCCCAUACCUGAAAAGAUCAGAACACCAAAUAACACGGAAGGCAAGAACAGUAAGGCGAGACUGGAUCGCGCUCAGUUUUCAGAUUUUCACAUUGACAUGGAUUCUGCAUUUGAGAACACCAACAAAGACUUAAAGGAAGACUCGUGUCCUGGCAGUGUCAGUAAUACAGUUGAUACACAGCAGCAUAGUUCUGUACGUUCAAGUCAAGACAGAAGUGAGGAUGACAGUUUGUGCUAAAUUUGUACAUUACGUAUAGCCUUUUCUUUAAAAAAUAAUUUGUAAUGAUUCAUGAAAUCUGAAAGCAAGCCUAGGAAUUGCUCUCAAGUCUGUUACAAAAUAUAGUUGAUGUAGCGUUGUCACAUUCCUCAGUGCCUGUCCAUAACUGUGAAGUAUCAAGCACUUAGGGCCAGAUGCACUGUAAACAUUGCAGGCGGAAACACACAGGAGUCUUUAGAAAAGUCAUUGAGUUGGAGUUGUAGGCUUUAGAAUAGAGCUGACAAAAUCAUAUAAAUAUAUUUUUUGUAAUAUGAGCCAGAAUUUUUUUGACAAUAUAAAGUUUUUCCAUAGAGCUUAUUUAUACCAACUUUUUUUUUCAUUUUAAAUGUCAGCACUGUAGUGUAAAUAGCUUUACAAAACCUUUUUAGUGUGAUUUAUAUUGAAAUGUGAGCCACUUAAUAAAGGUUCAUAAUAAUAAAUGCUUUCUGUUGAGCUUGCAAAAACAUACUGACAAUUCAGUUUGUUUGAUAUAUUAUGUUCCCGUUAAUAUACAUGAGGUGAAGUGAUGGAGGGAAAAUGUGUGUUCCAAUCUAGUAAAUAUUUAAAAUUUCCAUACUGUACAAGCAUUCAGAAAGCCACAAUUCUGUUAUUAAAACAUAUACAUAUGGAUUGUGUGUGUAUGUGUGUGUAUGUGUGUACACGUAUGUACAUGUGUGCUUGGGAAUGUAUAUAUGUACAUUGUUUUGCACAAUUUCUUAAAUUGAUGAAUAUAUAAAAGUUCUUAGUGCUACUUCCUGGAUUGUAUUCUAAAAUAUUUCUGUUCAGCAGUAAGAAAAUAAUUUAAUUAAUAGAGUUUUAGAAGUUGGGAGAACCUGUGUUGAUGGUUUUAUCCUUCUAACUAAUGAAGUCAAUGUGGCUGGAGUCUUUAGCCCUAGUGUAAUUCUUUUGUGCAAAUAAUAAGUUUAGAAAAUUUUCUAAUAAGCACCUAUAUGUUUAGUAAUAGUUGACUUAAAAAUUGACAUACAGAAAGUUUAAUUAGGAGUAAUUAAAAGUCUUUUACAUUUUUUCAUAUCACAAAAAUGAACUUUUAAACCAAGGGCAGUGACAGUGACCCAGCCAUCAUUCACAGAUGUGACUAGCAAACACUGUCAGAUCAUCUUCCUCAGGACCCUUCGCCAGCCUGCAGGGCAAACCUAAGGUGUACCUCCUCUAGAGAUGCUCUAGGGGUUCAUUGUGUAGGAGACAGGGUGGCCAGUGCCUGCACGGUGAGUAGACAUCUGCACCCAUGGACUUGAGCAUGGUUCCAGUCUGCUUCCACUCCGUCCUAGUGAUUGCAAAUGCCGUGGUGUUUGUUUUAGUCUGGGUCCCUGCCUUGAUUGGCGACUUUGAGUUGGCUCUCCUUGUGCUGCGUGGCCUUUUGGGAGACCGCUGUUCCCACCUCAGUGGGCUCCACUUUCACCUCAGUUUUGGUAAGCCAUCAAAGCUCAUGCUUCUAGCUGGGGAGAAACCACUUAGAGAAAUGUAUUUCACUAGAACUGAUGAAAAUCAGCACCAGCAGCAGUGUCUUGUGUCCUUACUUGAGGUGGGCACAUAAAGUAGAAAAUGCUGGUGGCUUAUAGGAGGAUCUCAGGAUGUUUGCAGGUGGCGUGGAGGUGGGGGUGGGGAUUCAUGGAGCAGAGAAAUUAAAAAUCGUGGCAGUGUAAAUAGGGUUUGGUUUUCUAUGUAACUAGCUGUCUUUCACUGCCCUCAUUUAAUCUAUUCUAAGCUAAAUUUAGGGUUCUUCAUCUUUCUUAAGGUGGGAUAGCAAAAAUUCUUAACAUAUGAGUAUUAAGAAAUAGGGAGGGAUAUUGUUAAAAUUUAGUUUUUAAAUUGACGGUGAUAUAUUUAUCACAGUAUGUUUUAUUUCCAGUUGCACAUAUGUAGGCCCACUGAGAUCAUACUGUAAGAAAACACUGUUAGGGUAUUUCCAAAACAUAUGAGCCUUAAGUUUUAGCUUAAAGGAAGGUACACCUGAGAUAGCAUCGCCACUGCUUUUAGGUAUAGUUUCUUAUGUGACCCUUAGUUCACAUAGUUAUCCAUACAGAUUAAUUGCUCUGUCAAAUGCAUACAUCUCUGAAGGUGAAGUAUGUGUAAACCAGCAGGCUCAAGAUUUCAAGAUAAAGCCUUACAGACUUGAAUCAUGCUUACGCCCCAGGCUUACGGGUUAUUUUUUAAAAUCCUCUUCAGAUGCCAUCUGAGAACUUGUUAACUACUUUUGUUACAGACAAAUUCCUAUUUUAAUAUUGCAUAAUAAUGGUUUUCUAGUUAGUAUACUCCCAUUCUCCAUGUGAAUAUAAGAUUUUUAUUUCCAGUAUCUUGGACCAGAACAUAAAGCAGUCAAGGUAUAGUUUUAAUAAGGUCAUAUGCUAUAUAGAGUGAAUAUUAUAUAAGUUAUUAAGUGAUAUACUACAGACCUUUACAUCAAAACGUAGGUACAUCAGUGGUAUUUGAUAUAUAUACUUUUUCCCCCUUUUUCUAAUUUUAUUUAUAUUUUCUUAGAUGUAGUAUAUAUCCCAUGCUCAGGUUAGCUAUCAAAAGAAUGAAACAUUUUUGAUAUUUAGUUGCAAAUUUACAUAAAGCCAUAUAUUAUCUUCCUUAUGACUGACGAAACUAUUGACCUUAAUGAUCAGGUUGGUUUAGCACAACACUGUGUAUUGUAUUUAUGUGUGUAUUUCUGAAUAAGUUUGUUUGAAAUAUGUUUCCAAAAUAGGAGGGGUAGGAAAUUAAGGAUGGGAAAGACUUUCUUAGGUUUAACUUUUAAGGAAUGUACUUAAUGUAUUCAAAGUAGGAUUUCAUUUUUUCAAAAUUCAGUUCUAUGUAAGGUUUUUUGUUGGUUUGUUUUUUCUUUUUUUGUAAAUAAUAAAUUAGCAUUGUUUGGUAACUUUGCUUUUUUGAGGGUAUUGGAAGGGACAAUUUAUUUAUAUGUAAAGUGAUUAUUUCCAGUUAGCCAAGGUACAGAUUUGGUUUUGGCAUUUGAGAGGCUAUUUUCCUUGUCUUCCACCUUUCAAUAAAUACUAAGAUUGAUAACCACAAUCUUUUUACCUUUGUUUUGUAAUUAUUUUCUUGGAUUUGACAUUAUAUUUUAGUCUCAGACUUCCUAUUUCUGUCUGUACCUACUGUCUUCUGAAAUAGCAAGGACCGAGGUGGGGGUGGGAGUCUAGUCUUAUAUUUCAGGUUAUCUAUCUUUCUAGCUUGUCAUGGACUUCACACCCAAUUAAUGAAUAUGAACGAGCUGCGAGAAAUACAUGGGCAUGUAGAAUUUAUGUUAACAGAAAUUAUAAGCAAAAUGUAUGUUUCUUUUUAAAAUAUUAUAGCUUUAUGUGUAUGGGCUUUUGCCUGUAUGUGUAUCUGUGCAUCUCUUGUGUCCAAUGCCCAGAGAGGUCAGAAAGGGCUUUGGUUUCCCUAGGACAGUGGCUCUCAACCUGAAUUCUGCGAUCCUCUCUUAUGUUCCUUAUGUUAUGGUGACCCCACCUAUAAAACUGUUUUUGUUGCUAUUUCAUACCUAUAAUUUUGCUACUGUUAGGAAUCAAAAUGUAAAUUCCCGUGUUUUCUGAUGUCUGAGGUGAGUCCUGUGAAAGGAUCAUUCCGUCCCUUCAGGAGGUUGUGUGCUGCUAAUUGUGCUGCUAAUGUGCUGAGAAUUGAACCCAGGACCUCUGGAAGAGCAACCAUUGCUCUUAGCCACCAAGCCAUUUCUCUGGCCCACCUGUGUUUUUCUUCACGGUGAUCUUAACCAUUAUUGUGAAAAUAAAAGAACUGGGAUCCCAAAAUUAA